rnacentral:lncRNA from 1 species
UAGAGGGGGCAGAGCGGGACCGACUGAUGGAACGCCUCAACGAGUUCAGGAGGUGCGGUCCCCGGAUCUUUGACGGCGAGAAGGUCGACCACUGGAUCGUGGAAAAGUGGUUGAUGCAUAUGGAGAAGCUCUUCCGCGACACCUUCGUGGAGGAGAGAGAUCGAGUUUGGCUCGCCACUCACCAUCUGGACGGUGAGGCCUAUCGC